rnacentral:lncRNA from 1 species
UCACUUAUUAUCCUUAGAUUGCAUGUACUGACUUCAAAAUCCAAUAACUCCUUUACUUUAACUUAGAAUCUAGUAAGAAAUAUGCAAAAAGCAUAGCUGCAAAAGUGCUCUCUUCAAUCGCAGUUGCCAAUCCUCAAUUGCCUUCCGUACACAUGCGUUAUAUCAAAAAGAGUGAUAGUAGCUUCUAAAUCAAUACCUUAACUUUGAGUGUCUAUAUCUCCUUCAUAUAAACUCCAAAUCAUAUAAGAUUUGCAUUAAAACCAUAGCCAAAAACCUAAACUUGC